rnacentral:rRNA from 1 species
AGUGAACGCUGGCGGUAGGCCUAACACAUGCAAGUCGAACGGCAGCACAGUAAGAUCUUGCUCUUACGGGUGGCGAGUGGCGGACGGGUGAGGAAUACAUCGGAAUCUACUUUUUCGUGGGGGAUAACGUAGGGAAACUUACGCUAAUACCGCAUACGACCUACGGGUGAAAGCAGGGGAUCUUCGGACCUUGCGCGAUUGGAUGAGCCGAUGUCGGAUUAGCUAGUUGGCGGGGUAAAGGCCCACCAAGGCGACGAUCCGUAGCUGGUCUGAGAGGAUGAUCAGCCACACUGGAACUGAGACACGGUCCAGACUCCUACGGGAGGCAGCAGUGGGGAAUAUUGGACAAUGGGCGCAAGCCUGAUCCAGCCAUACCGCGUGGGUGAAGAAGGCCUUCGGGUUGUAAAGCCCUUUUGUUGGGAAAGAAAAGCAGCAGGUUAAUACCCCGCUGUUCUGACGGUACCCAAAGAAUAAGCACCGGCUAACUUCGUG